AAAAGUAAAACAACUCUAUACGAUGGAUAUCUUGGCUCUUGAAUCGAUGAAGAACGCAGCGAAAUGCGAUAAGUAAUGCGAAUUGCAGAACUCUGUGAGUCAUCAAAUCUUUGAACGCAUAUUGCACUUCCUUUUGGGAGUAUACUUGUUUGAGUGUAGUUAAAGGUUUCUAUCUAUAAUAGAUGAAUAUUGGAGUUAGUAUACUAUACUUUCUCUAAAAUGAAUAUAUUCGUAUAUAAGAAUAGUAUUUGAGGUAGUUGCCACAAGUACUAUAUUAUAUAAGAAUAUAUUUAAUAAGAUCUAUCUCAAAUCAAGUAAGAUUACCUGCUGAAUUGAAGCAUCUAAGUAAGCAGAGGAAAAGAAAAUAACAAUGAUUCUCUUAGUAACGGCGAGUGAAUAGGGAAUAGCCCAAGCUUAAAUCAGCUUUGCUGAGUUGUAGUGUGUAGAAUCUAACUUUUGUUCAGUGUUAAUAUCAUAUAAUUUGGUUGGAAAACCAAGUAAUAGAAGGUGAUAACCCUGUAAUAUGAUAUGACUGAAUGUUGGAUUCUUGGAGUCGAGUUGUUUGGGAAUGCAACUCGAAGUGGGUGGUGAACUCCAUCUAAGGCUAAAUAUGUUCAAGAGACCGAUAGUGAACAAGUACCGUGAGGGAAAGAUGAAAAGAACUUUGAGAAAAGAGUGAAAUAGUACUUGAAAUCGUAUAGAGGUUAAGCAGAGUUGGUGGAUAUUGUAUUUGAAUGUACUAUAAUCAAUUGAUUAUGGCUUAUUCUUAUACAUAGUAUAAUUUGUGUGUGAAUUGGUUAAUAUUAAAACGAAUAUGCGCAUAAAUGAUAUAAAUCCUACAUCUCUGUCCCGUCUUGAAACACGGACCAAGGAGUCUAUCCUGUAUGCAAGUUGUAUGGUGUAAAACCAAUAAGCGUAAUGAAAGUAAGAGGUGUGAAAGUUGUAAAAGUGUCAACACCUGCCGAUCUAAAUUCUUUGAUGAAAGAUUCGAGUAUGAGCAUAUAGGGUGGGACCCGAAAGAUGGUGAACUAUGCCUGAAUAGGACGAAGCCAGGGGAAACUCUGGUGGAGGUUCGAGUGGAUUCUAACGUGCAAAUUGAUCUUUAAAUUUGGGUAUAGGGGCGAAAGACUAAUCGAACCAUCUAGUAGCUGGUUCAUUCCGAAAUUUCCCUCAGGAUAGCUGCAACUUAUGAAAUAGUUUUAUGAGGUAAAGCGAAUGAUUAGAGGUUUCUGGGAUGGAAUAUCCUGGACCUAUUCUCAAACUUUCAAUGGGUAAGAAAAGUGUGAUGUUUAAUUAAUCAUACUAUUUGAAUAUGAGUUGCAAGUGGGCCAUUCCGGGUAAGCUGGACUGGCAAUGCGGGAUCAACCGAACGCUAUGUUACGGCGCCAGAUUGUUCGCUCAGUUGGAUGUAAAAGGUGUUAGUUCAUCUAGACAGCAGGACGGUGGCCAUGGAAGUCGGAAUCCGCUAAGGAGUGUGUAACAACUCACCUGCCGAAUGAAGUAGCCCUGAAAAUGGAUGGCGCUUAAGCGAACAGCCUAUACAUAGCCAUUAUUGUUAGGAUUAUACAAUAAUGAGUAGGAAUGCGUGAUGAAUGUUGUGAAGUAUGAUGUGUGAACAUGUAUGGAACAUUCAUUAGUGCAGAUCUUGGUGGAAGUAGCAAAUAUUCAAAUGAGAUCUUUGAAGACUGAAGUGGAGAAAGGUUCCAUAGGAAUAGUGAUUAUCUAUGGGUUAGUCGAUCCUAAGAGAUAGGUGAAAUCCAUUGAAAAGUCAAUUUCGAUUGACAUUUAUCGAAAGGGAAUCAGGUUAAUAUUCCUGAACCAAAGAGAAGGGUAAACGGUAACGUAUAGGGGUCUCAAGACAUUGAUGUUAUUCCCAGGAAGAGUUUUCUUUUCUUGUUAACAAAUGGGCAGUGCUUGGAAUCGAUUCAGUCGGCGAUAAGCAUUGUUAUUUGGUAAAGUACUACUAUUUUGUGUAGUAUCUGGUGCAAUGACAUGAAUCCUUGAAAAUUGAGACUUUUGUUUUCCCGAAGCUUUGGUCGUACUAAUAACCGCAUCAGGUCUCCAAGGUGAAUAGCCUCUAGUUAAUAGAAUAAUGUAGAUAAGGGAAGUCGGCAAAUUAGAUCCGUAACUUCGGGAUAAGGAUUGGCUCUGAGGGCUAAGUGGGUUUAAGGUGUUAAUAGUAUAAGUUUGAUAUGGGAUUGAGUGUUUUGAGUUGCUUCGGUGAUUUGAAAUAUUUGGUUCUAAUGUCUUAGUUGUCUAUUUUCAUCUACCACUAUGAAUAGCUAACUCAGAACUGGUACGGACAAGGGGAAUCCGACUGUUUAAUUAAAACAAAGCAUUGUGAUGGUGUGAAAGAUAUGUUGACACAAUGUGAAUUCUGCCCAGUGCUCUGAAUGUGAAAGUGGCGUAAUUCAAGCAAGCGCGGGUAAACGGCGGGAGUAACUAUGACUCUCUUAAGGUAGCCAAAUGCCUCGUCAUCUAAUUAGUGACGCGCAUGAAUGGAUUAAUGAGAUUCCCACUGUCCCUAUCUACUAUCUAGCGAAACCACAGCCAAGGGAACGGGCUUGGAAAUAUCAGCGGGGAAAGAAGACCCUGUUGAGCUUGACUCUAGUUUAACAUUGUGAAAUGACUUUAGAGGUGUAGCAUAGGUGGGAGGAGGUAACUCCGAUCCUGAAAUACCACUACUCUGAAUGUUGUUUUACUUAUUCCAUGAAAGAGGAUACUUACUUAAUUGUAAGUGUUAUGAUGUAAACUUUGGUGACCUCUUUGGGAGACAUUGUUAGGUGGGGAGUUCGGCUGGGGCGGCACAUCUGUUAAAGAAUAACACAGGUGUCCUAAGAUGAGCUCAAUAAGAACAGAAAUCUUAUGUAGAACAAAAGGGUAAAAGCUCAUUUGAUUUUGCUUUUCAGUAUGAAUACAAACUAUAAAAGUAUGGCCUAUCGAUCCUUUACAUAAAGGGAGAUCCUUGGUAGAGGUGUCAGAAAAGUUACCACAGGGAUAACUGGCUUGUGGCAGGCCAGGGGUCCAAGCGGCGGUGCUUUUGUUCAGUCAUGCGUUCAUAGCGACGUUGCUUUUUGAUUCUUCGAUGUCGGCUCUUCCUAUCAUUGCGAAGCAGAAUUCGCCAAGUGUUGGAUUGUUCACCCAUUAAUAGGGAACGUGAGCUGGGUUUAGACCGUCGUGAGACAGGUUAGUUUUACCCUACUGAUGAAGUAAUUGUCGUAACAGUAAUCUAACUUAGUACGAGAGGAACCGUUAGUUCAGAUAAUUGGUAAAUCCAUUUAACUGAUAAGUUAGUGAUGGGAAGCUAUCAUCUGUGGGAUUAUGACUGAACGCCUCUAAGUCAGAAUCCUUGCUGAAAUGAAACGACGAUUCUCUUAAUAAGAGGAACAAUUUGUAUUUCACGCAAGAAUACUUGAUAUGUUAGUAUCAAGGAAAGCGAUUUGUAUAGUAUUGAAUGAAAUUGAAUUGUUAUUGCAAUCGUUUGUAGACGACUUAUAGUAAAGAAGGUACUGUAAGAGUAUGAGCUGGCUUGUUCCAGCGAGUCUUUGAGGUUUAUCCU
rnacentral:rRNA from 1 species